rnacentral:rRNA from 1 species
GAUGAACGCUGGCGGCGUGCCUAAUACAUGCAAGUCGAGCGAACAGACGAGGAGCUUGCUCCUCUGACGUUAGCGGCGGACGGGUGCGUAACACGUGGAUAACCUACCUCUAAGACUGGGAUAACUUCGGCAAACCGGAGCUACUACCGGAUAACAUGUUGAACCGCAUGGUUCAACCGUGAAAUACGGUCUUGCUGUCACUUAUAGAUGGCUCCGCGCCGCAUUAGCUAGUUGGUAAGGUAACGGCUUACCAAGGCAACGAUGCGUAGCCGACCUGAGAGGGGGAUCGGCCACACUGGAACGGGAGGACGAUCCGGACUCCUACGAGAGGCAGCAGUAGGGAAUCUUCCGCAAUGGGCGAAGGCCUGACGGAGGAACGCCGCGUGAGUGAAUAAGGUCUUCGGAUCGUAAAACUCUGUUAGUAGGGAAGAACAAAAGUGUAAUUAACUAGGCACGUCUUGACGAUACCUAAUCAGAAAGCCACGGCUAACUACGUG